rnacentral:rRNA from 1 species
AACGAACGCUGGCGGCAUGCCUAACACAUGCAAGUCGAACGAGACCUUCGGGUCUAGUGGCGCACGGGUGCGUAACGCGUGGGAACCUGCCCUUAGGUUCGGAAUAACUCCCCGAAAGGGGUGCUAAUACCGGAUAAUGUCUUCGGACCAAAGAUUUAUCGCCCUUGGAUGGGCCCGCGUUGGAUUAGCUAGUUGGUAGGGUAAAAGCCUACCAAGGCGACGAUCCAUAGCUGGUCUGAGAGGAUGAUCAGCCACACUGGGACUGAGACACGGCCCAGACUCCUGCGGGAGGCAGCAGUGGGGGAUAUUGGACAAUGGGCGAAAGCCUGAUGCCGCAAUGCCGCGUGAGUGAUGAAGGCCUUAGGGUUGUAAAGCUCUUUUACCCGGGAUGAUAAUGACAGUACCGGGAGAAUAAGCACCGGCUAACUCCGUG